UUUUCGCAAUGCCCGAAAGGGUGACGAAGCGACGCCGCGUGGGUGAGGAAGGCCUUCGGGUUGUAAAGCCCUGUCAGGAGUUAAGAAAUAUAAGUGCGCUAAUACCGCAUUUAUUUGACAAAGGCUCCAAAGGAAGCCACGGCUAACUCUGUGCCAGCAGCCGCGGUAAUACAGAGGUGGCAAGCGUUGUUCGGAAUUACUGGGCGUAAAGAGCACGUAGGUGGGUUUGUAAGUCAGAUGUGAAAGCCUUCUGUUCAACGGAAGAAUUGCAUCUGAAUCUACGAACCUUGAGUAUAGGAGGGGAGAAUGGAACUUCUGGUGGAGCGGUGAAAUGCGUAGAUAUCAGAAGGAACGUCGGCGGCGAAAGCGAUUCUCUGGCCUGUUACUGACACUGAGUGUGCGAAAGCUAGGGGAGCAAACGGGAUUAGAUACCCCGGUAGUCCUAGCCGUAAACGAUGGGCACUAAGUAGAGGGGUUUU
rnacentral:rRNA from 1 species